UAAGGAAUAUUGCUCAAUGGGAGAAAUCCUGAAGCAGCAACGCCGCGUGGAGGAUGAAGGGUCUAUGACUUGUAAACUCCUGUAAAGAAGGAAAAAAUUUCCAUUAGAUGGGAGAUGAUGGUACUUCUGGAGUAAGCCCCGGCUAACUACGUGCCAGCAGCCGCGGUAAUACGUAGGGGGCAAGCGUUGUCCGGAUUUACUGGGUGUAAAGGGUGCUCAGGCGGAUUUGUAAGUCAGAGGUGAAAUCUUACAGCUUAACUGUGAAACUGCCUUUGAUACUGCAAGCCUAGAGUAUGGAAGAGAGUGAUGGAAUAUCUGGUGUAGCAGUGAAAUGCGUAGAUAUCAGAUAGAACACCGAUGGCGAAGGCAGUCACUUGGUCCAUUACUGACGCUAAAGCACGAAAGCGUGGGUAGCAAACA
rnacentral:rRNA from 1 species